rnacentral:rRNA from 1 species
CCAAGGAGUCUAACAUGUGUGCUAGUCGUCGAGUAAUAAACCUCGUCGAGGCAAAAUGAAAGUAAAAGAGCCCUGAAGAAGGUGUCUCAGAUAGGUGAUCCCUGGUAUUUCCAGGGCGCAACCUAUGGGCGUUUGAUUGCUACGAAACAAUAGCUCAAACGAACCCAGAGCCCACACGUUGGGACCCGAAAGAUGGUGACCUAUGCUUGACCAGGUCGAAGCCAGGGGAAACCCUGGUGGAGGACCGCAGCGAUUCUGACGUGCAAAUCGAUCGUCGGAGUUGGGUAUAGGGGCGAAAGACUAAUCGAACCAUCUAGUAGCUGGUUCCCCCCGAAGUUUCCCUCAGGAUAGCUGGUGCUGAUGGACAGAGUUUCAUCCGGUAAAGCGAAUGAUUAGAGGCCUUGGGGUCGAAACGACCUCAACCUAUUCUCAAACUUUCAAUGGGUGAGAAUCGAUGGCUGAUGCCUUAAGUGAGCCAGUCGAAUAAGAAUCACAGUGCCCAGUGGGCCAAUUUUGGUAAGCAGAAGUGGCGCUGUGGGAUGAACCAAACGCGCGGUUAAGGCGCCAAACUGGACGCACAUUUCGGAUCCCACGAAAAGGAGUUGGUUGCUAAAGACAGCAGGACGGUGGCCAUGGAGGUCGGAAUCCGCUCAGGAGUGUGUAACAACUCACCUGCCGAAGCAACUAGCCCUUAAAAUGGGAGGCGCUAUAGCGUCCGGCCUAUACCGAGCCGUUGGGCGUACGAUUUCCUACGCGUGGAUAAUGGAGACCCCGACGAGUAGGGGGGUCGCGACGGUGAGCUUGGAAGGGUACAGGGCGUGGGCCUGCCUGGAGCCGCCGAUCGGUGCAGAUCUUGGUGGUAGUAGCAAAUACU